rnacentral:rRNA from 1 species
GCCUUGGCAUCAGGAGCCGAUGAAGGACGUGAUAAGCUGCGAUAAGCUUCGGGUAGGCGCACAUAGCCAGUGAUCCGGAGAUUUCCGAAUGAGGGAACUCACAUGGGAAACCCCAUGUACCGUAUAGUGAAUACAUAGCUAUACGGAGGUAAACCUAGGGAACUGAAACAUCUAAGUACCUAGAGGAAGAGAAAGAAAAAUCGAUUUUCUGAGUAGCGGCGAGCGAAAGGGAAAGAGCCCAAACCAGAGAUUUAUCUCUGGGGUUGCGGACAGAACAUUAAAGUGGAGGCUAUUGUAAUUGAAGAGUACUGGAAAGUACCACCGUAGAAGGUAAUAGUCCUGUAAGUAAAACGAGAAGACCACGAGUUCUGAUCCAGAGUACCACGAGACACGUGAAACCUUGUGGGAAGCAGGGAGGACCACCUCCCAAGGCUAAAUACUACCUGAUGACCGAUAGUGAAGCAGUACCGUGAGGGAAAGGUGAAAAGAACCCCGGGAGGGGAGUGAAAUAGAACCUGAAACCGUGUGCCUACAACCGGUCAAAGCCCCAUA